rnacentral:tRNA from 1 species
GGAGAGGUGGCCGAGCGGUUGAUGGCGGCGCUCUUGAAAAGCGCUGAGUUGAAAGACUUCGUGGGUUCGAAUCCCACCCUCUCCGCCA